AUGCUGUUUUCUGAAGGAUUUAUUAUGUGUGUUUGCUGUGAACUGCUUGGAAGACAUAAUCUAACAUCGUUGCGUUUGCCGUCGUCGUACUCCAUAAGUCACAUCUUAAUUUAUGAAGAGUUAUAUUUUGUGAGAAGCGAUAACUCGUUUGAGCUGCAGUGUUUACACUACUGCUUUGUCCAUCUUGAACGUGAGAUGGUUUCAGUGCUGAAGAUUGCUCAAUUAUUUGUCAUUCUAAACUUGGAAGUCAUGGUUGAAAUUACAAAGGAUCAGUUCACACUUCCUCUGUUCGGAAUUACUUGUCGGAGAAAUGAAUGUAUUAGACAUAUUGUAGUAUAA
rnacentral:rRNA from 1 species